rnacentral:RNase_P_RNA from 1 species
AAGCAAAAACAGUCGGUCGCGGAAGACUUUUAUGUCUUUCGAGGAAAGUCCGGGCUCCAAAGAGCAUAACGCCGUUUUAUAGCGGUGAAGGCAACUUUAAGGAAAGCGCAACAGAAAAUAUACCGCCUUAUUUAAUAGGGUAAGGGUGAAAUAGCGAGGUAAGAGCUCACUUGGACAUUAUGCAAAUAACGUCUAUGGCAAGCCCCGUUAGGAGCAAGAACAAAUAGGAAGACUUAAGGCUGCUCGCCUUGCAUAGUCUUCGGGUUGUUCGCACAGAGAAAUGACCGACCUUGACAGAACCCGGCUUAUGUUUUUGUUUGCGG